AUAAGAAAACUAAAGCUUGGUGAAGUUAAGUCGCUUGCCCCGGAUCACACAGAUCGUGGCAAAACUAACAAUCAAAUUAGGGCCUGACUCCAGAGGCCAAGCUCUGACUUUUACAUGUGCUGCCUCCCAGUGGGAAGAGCUGGCAUCAAGAACGACAUCUUUCACACUGGACAUGUUCACAAAUGACUGGUGAAUACUAAGGGAUUAACAUAAGAUCACUAAACCACCUCUAUGCUCCUCUUUUUGAGAAAAAGAAAAGAAAAAUGAGAAACAAUGGAUCUUCAGAGCUAAGUUGAAAAGCAGGGCUCAGUCAGCCUUGACACCGUUUCUAAUACUAUUCCCCACUGGAAUGGCUCCAGUUGGUGGCCAGAGAUACUGCUUCAUUUCAAGGAACCAUUCAGACAUUUGCCUGCAAACUUAACGUGACCGCCUCUCAGUCAGGGGGACCUCCUGGAACCAGUGCCUGCUUGCUUUAAAUUCAACAAUUAAACCUGUUUGGAUAACACUCUGAACCCAAUAAAGGCCCCGCAAGAGUGACGCUGCCAGGCAGGCGCCGCCCUGUUCGGUUCCUGCUGCUGUCGCUCCUCGCUCCCCACCACCUCCAGAGCUCCGGUGGGUCACCAUGGAAAGGGAAGCCGCUGCCUGCAAGGCCAGCAGACACAGAGGUCACCCUCCAAUUUUUUCGGGUAACAUUCUGUAAGGACAGAACACCAGGAGGCUACUCCUACCACCAGGAGCAUGUCAGGUAAACAUCCAGAGAGAUGAAGGAAGAAAAAAUUUUAUUUUAGCCACCAAGAAAUACAAGCCGUUCUAAAGAUUAUACUUAAAAGAAAAAAAAAACAAAAAAAGGAAGGAAAAAGGGGACCGAUGAUCUUGCAAUCACGGAAGUUGUAGAGAGCUGGCUGCCUAGAGACACUGUGCCCUUCCCUCCUCCCUCUUUUCCUCUUAUCAACCAGAGGCAGAGACUAAGAAUGCCUUCAAGCAACUAAAGCCUAAAAUAAAAAAGAAAGAAAAGAGGAAGAGGGAGAGGGAGGGAGAGAGAGAGAGAGAGAGAGAGAGAGAGAGAGAGAGAGAGAGACUGUUGCUUUAUGCUAUUACAAGUCCAAGAAAAAAAAAAAAAGAGAUGAACUUUAAACUUUAAAUACUUAGCAGCUGCCAGGUCUAGCAAACAUGCUAGCCCUAGAUCACUUACUGAUUUAUAAACAAACCCCUAGAUACAGAGGGGGAAAAAGGUAAUUAAAUAAAAGUUAUAUAUAAUAUUUUAACAUAAAUAUAUGUUGAUAAAUGGUGUAUAUGAUAUAUUUGCAUCUUUUGAUAUAGUUAGAAGUUCAUAAUGCAUAUAGCAAUUUAUAUAUCAAAGAAUUUACAUAACAAAAAGAUUAAAAAGGACACGUACUGGCUUUGUGCUUCUACAAGGUCAGUUCUAAUUUAACUUUAACAAUUUGUUAAAAUGCACUAACAAAAAUGCAUGGACUUAAUAUUGGGGCUCAAAUUAUAUUUAUACCUGGGGAAUUCCACUAAACUUAAACACUCUGCCCAUGUAAUCUUGAGCAGGUAACUGAAUAUAAUAUUUUGUAAAUGAAUAUGCCUUGCAUAUUCAUUUGUAGCAUGGCCUAAAUUUCCCAUAGUUAUAUAUCCAUUGCUGUAAGAUAUUCUAUAUUAGGCAGAGAUGCUCUGACACAAUAAAUAACAAAUUAAAAUUAAAGUAAGUCUUUGGCACUUACAAAUUGACUUAAUAAAAUGGAACCCCUUGUACCCCCAGUUAAUAUAGUUAAUAUGGCCCAAAGUAAGUUGAAAUGGAUUAAAACCAAUUCUAAAAAACCUAUUAAUAAAGGCGUGAUUAUUCCCACUUCCCCAUUUAACAGCCCUUUCAUUAGGGCCCCUAUAUCCAAUACCUAAUAUUAUUAAAAUUGCUGAUUCCGUUCAAUCAACAACUGGUAAAUAUUUUGCUCUUGUGGAUUUGGCUAACGUGCUGUUUCAAUAGCGUCUUCACUGCAGUUCGCCUCCUCCUCUAAAAGAACACAGUACACCUUUUCAGACCUCUGCAGCUGUGUCAUCACAUGCAAUCUUUAAUUAAUCUUAACGACAUCCACCUUCUCCAGGAGCACUGGUAUGAGAGUACAUCCAGGACAUUCUCAGCCAAGGAGACUCACUUAAUACAUACAUUGAUGACAUUCGAGACCAAUAUUUCUUAGUACUUUUGGGUUUUGGUGGCAACAUAUUCCUCAUUUAUAAAUUUUACUUCUAAAUUAAAGUCUAC
rnacentral:lncRNA from 10 species